ACCUUAUUAAUUUUAAUGAACUCUUAGAGGGCGACCCCAGUCGUGGGUUCGGCAGGAUGAAACACUACCCAUUUACCAGUUUACAGACAUUUAGGUCGUUUCGAGUUAUGAAUAAUGCUGUGAACAUUCAUGUGCAAGUCUUUAUGUGGACGUAUGUUUUAAUUUGUCUUGGGUAGAUACCUAGGAAUGAAAGUGAUGGGUCGUAGGGUAGUUCUAUGUAUAACUUUUUGAGAAACGGAAACUUUUUCCAAAGUGGCUGCAUCAUUUUUCAUUCCCACCAGCCAUGUAUGAGGGUUUCCAGUUCUCUGACUUUUUUUUUUUUAAUAUUCUAGAAAUGCACUGUAAUUUGAGAUUGAUAUUUUUUUCUUAGCAUUUUGCUAGCAACAAGCUACCAUCUUGGAGAUCAUUAAUAAUUAGUCUUUAAUUAUUAGGAAUGGUUCCUGAGUAAAAUGAAAAUAUGUCAGUCUGCCAUAAAUGAAAUUCAUUAUUUUAGAAUUUCAAACUUUCUUCUUAAAUGAAGUGUGGUAGGAAUCCUAUUUUAACAACUGUAAGCUAAAGAAUUAGCUGUGAAUCUUGCCCAGUUUCAAUAAUAAAUCAGUGAAUUCCAAUGGUUGCACAAAAUUUAUCUUAUCAGGCCAAUAUAUUUACUAUUAAUUAAAUGUAUAUUGAGUAUGUAUAUUUAGCAUGUUAAGUGAGUUAGAUUCUUUUGACAUAUAUUCUAUACUGCUAAAAUAAAAUUGACUCAUAUAGGACAGAAUGGAAUUACAUUUUGUGAAGUUAUAAAAUCUGAGCUAUGAUUCAGAGUGUGGGAGGAAGUACUGACGUUAUGAAGCUCAUAAGUACCUAGUAGUACUAAGCUCCAGGUUCCAAAAGUGGCAUAUUGUCACUAUAGCAACCACCAUGCUUAUUUGGAUUUGAAACCCAGGCAACGAAUGGUGGAUAGGACUAUAAUAUUAAGAUUGCAUUUCUCUGGAAUGACCACAGCAAUAUUUCCAGCCCUUGAUGAUCUUCUAGAACUUUGCCACUUCCCUGCAUCAAGAGAAAAUCUUGGAAGAAGAACACUUCUUUGAUGACGUUGUCAGAGAGAAAUGGAUGUUCUCCUAAAUGGGAAGCCUUAAUUCUGUGUGUAAUUUAUAAAGCCAUGGAGAAGAGGAGACAGAGUGUGCAAGGGAAUGAAGAAAAGGAACAAGACUAUUUUCAAAUCACCCAUGGCACUACUAGAAAUGUAUUUCAGCAAAAGGACUGGCUGAUUUUAUGAUUCCUGUGUCCACCACAGCCCUCUAAUUUUUACAUAGGUACCCCACAUCUCUCUAGAUUUCAGGAAGACUAUUAUCCUUCGACUUUAGCUUUCUGAUGGGUUCACAAAAAGCCAUUAGUGUGCUGUUGGUCCAGCUUUUUUCUGUUGCAAAUAUGAGAGCUACAGUUCUGAGAUGAAACCACAGGAUGUUCUUUCUCUAUGUAAGGAGAACAGUACCUUUUCUGACUACUCUGAAAUGAAUCAAGAACAAAUCUGUGUGGAAUUUUGGACCAUAAUCAGGAACAAGAAUCUCGGGAAUCCUUGGAAAUAAAGUAAUUUUCUUACAAUUUAAACUUACUUUCUGUCAGAGGACAGCUAUUCAUGUAUUUCUGGACUAUUUCAAUUCAUUGAGCUUUACCUGCUCAGGAUAAAGAGGUCCUUUGAUAAAAUCAAUGAAGCCAAGCAGAACACUGCAGUUUCUGAGUUCAGUACCAGUUAAGUAUUUCCCUAUUAUAAGGGAUCCCUAUUGUUGGAAAAUAGCUUUUCUAUUCACAGAAAUGAUGAGAAAAUGACAUCUUGCUUUUUGCAGUAAUAUGAAUACUUACUUUUGAGAUCUAGUAAAUUAACAUUGCUGACUCUUCAGACUGGCCCCUUGAAUUAGGGUCAAAUCAAGGAAAUGAAAUGCAUAUAUGCACAUUCUGAGAGUAAACAGACAAGUAGUCAUGCCAUUGCUCUCUUCUCUGUGCACAGCACAGGCUUAGGGCUUUGCAUAAAUCAAAUCAAAAUAUUUGUGUUUUUGCAUGGAUUUUAACAUUUGUGUUUUAAAUCUAUUUUCUGAGUAGAUUUUAUGAACCUAAUGAAAAAAUUGAAAGCAAUUCCUCCAGCAUAACUUCUGAGUGAUACUACUGUACAGGUAACCCUGUAUGAAAGGGAAAGAGUUUGAUACAAUGGACACUGGGAGGCUUUACCUGGAAGUGCCCAAAAGAUACCAUUAGUUGGUAAUUUGUAACUGGCUCAUAUGUUAAACAUUGUAGGGUUGAGAGUCUAGAUGACAUGUGAACAACAAAAUCUCCAUUUUUAGUGCUGAUACUUUUAUGUCAUUCAGACAAGAGCUGGUAGGUUUAGACAUUUAUCCUGAAAUAAUGAGAAGUUUUUCAUUUCUGAAUUAGUUAGAAAGUUGGCACUAAAACUGCCCCAAGGCACGGUCUGUGAAUCUAAGUGUAUCCACACCAAGCCAUCUUUCAUUUAAGUCUGUUUAAUAAAUCAUCUUCUUAACUGGUGCUGGGGGCAUAAAGUUCAUGCCUCUGGCACAACAGAAAAGAAGAAAAAGAUCAGGAGCAUAGAAGUUUUAAGAAAUGUAAUAUUUUCAGCUUGGGUUUUCUGACAUACAAGGAAAAAUGCUAUUUAAAAAUUAUUCCUACUUGGAUAAAAGCAGCUGCUCCUAGUUCUAUAUAAUAAAAUUUGGAAAGCUGAAGAGAUGGGCCAGCUUUUCUCCAGGGUUCAGUGGGCUUCAUGGGGCAAGCAUUAGACUAGACUAGAGCAACACUGCUUCAUGAAGGCAGAGCUAAGUGACCAUUGAUCAUUGAAUGAAUUAAUAAAAUAAUGAAAAUUUCAGUUCCUUUUGACUCAGUUCUCAGCUAAGUUAUUUUGCUAUGUAUAAGGAAGUAGUUUUUGAUAUCAUUGUUAGAGAGAUGGGGCAUGGAAUUUUUUCCCCAUCAAGCUUAUGGAUUAUUUUUUGCCAACAAUUUCAUAUGAACUUGAUGAAAACUUUAUAUUUGGUCACUAAACAGGUUUAUAAGCCACUCAUAGAAGGAAUGUGAUUUAUUUUGGGGGCAAAAUUUUGGUAGCUUCACGUAUUUAUUCGGUAAGUACGUGUUUAUUGGAUACCUACUCUGCACCAGGCAGUGGCUAGUACCCUAGACACUGACAAUACAAAAGUGAAUAGACACACACAUAUGUCCCUCUGCUCUUGGGUAUUCAGACAUGUAAACAGUUAAAACUCAAUGUAGAGUAAAUGCUAUAAUGGACUACAAACAAUGCGUCACAGAAGUAUGUAAGAUAAGGAUCAAACCCAAACUUGAGGGAUUAGGAAAAGCUUUCUAGAGGAAAUUACAUCUCAGCUGAAACCUUAAUGCUAAAUAGGAGGGAGCUAGAAGAAGGAGGCAGAAAGAGUGUUUGAGGCAGGAGAGCCUGGUGAGACUUGGGAUGAAAACACUUCAUAAGCAGAGUAUGGAGUGGGGAGAGCGGAAGCUGCCAUGAUGAGCAGAGGCCAAGUUCAGAAGGGCCUUGAAAGCCAUGCCAAUGAGUUUAGGAUUUGUCCUUAGAGCUUGAUUGAAAUAGUAAUCUAGUAAGUGAAUAAUAAGGCCUAGGGUUAUAGGAAGUCAUUGAUAACUUUUUAAAAAUGGAGCUAUUUAGUCAGACAUGUUUUAGAAUACUUUCUCUGGUUGUAGUAUGGAGAGCAGGUGGAGAGGACUCAAGACUAGAGACAGGCAGAUUUUGGCAGCUGAGUGAGAGGCAACCAUACCCUGCAGCAGAGAGAUAGCCAUGGGGAUAGAGGGAUGUGGGCUGACUCAGGAGAUCAUUAUGAGAAAAAAUGUCCAGAUCUUGGUGUUUAGUUGGAUAUGAAGGGCAUGAGAGAACAAGAAGUUCAGGGUGACUGCCAGGUUUCUGUCUUGUCUUAAUGAAUAGAAAUGGUGCCACUCACUGAGGAAGGAGGACUAGGAUGAGGUAGAUAUGUAAGUUCAAUUUUAGGCAUGUUAAGUUUUAGGUACCUGUGGGAUAAUCAAAAAAGCUUAGAAAGCUGUAGUGUAGAAAUUUCUAAAUCUCAACUUCCUCAUAUUCAUUCUUCAAGCUGACCUGCAUACAAACUCUGAUGUCUACCAAUUAGUCUUUCCUUUUUCACCUUUCACAUUGCCCUUCUCCACUUUACAAAAGAAAAGUGUACUUCCCCCAUCCUAAGUUGUAUUUUGAUGCAUUGCUCCAGGGUGUAAAAACACUUGGGGCAUCAAAAAGAGGGACAAAUCUAGAAUACCACUUUCUUGAGGGAAAGUCUCUUGAAAGUAAAAUAAAAAAAAACUUCAGAGAGAAAUAUUUGAGGGGAUCUUGUUUUAUCCAGGAGACAAACUCAAGAUAAGAAUUUGUCUAUCCAUCCAUGUCUUGUUUUAUUCAUCUAUCCACCAGCUAUCUACCCAACAAUCAACCAUCCAUUUAAAAAUCAAUUAACCUAUCUUAGAAUACAGAAGUAUUCCACAGAUGCAUGACUGUAUGAAUUUUAAAAUAAAAUUGUACUGGUUCUGAUGAAAAGUAACCCUGAUUUGGCUGAUUAGUUUCACAAUGUGGCCUGAUUAUCUGAAAGACGUGUUCUAUAAAUAGAAUGAGCUAAAUCUACAACUCCAAGACUUGGAUAAAAAUAUAUUUAAUGUACAUAUAUAAUAUAAGCCAUAAAUACAUCCUUUGAAACUAUUUCACUUUAUGUGUUAAAAAUUUUUAGAUUUUGAUUUCAAAAUAUGUGAGAAAUAGUUUUCCAAAAUCUUUUGAGAGCAUGAGAACAAAAAUGUUUGGACAAGUGCUUAGUCCAUUGCUUCAGUUACCUCCCUAUAAGUGUCCUAUUUACCUUCUCUCAUUAUAUUCCACUCAUAACCAGCCAGAAAAUACCUACCGUGCCUGCUAUUUCCUUGGCUAAGCUGAAGUCUUGAGCAUGGCUGGAGAAAAAAAAACCUCAUAUAAUCAUAUUGGUGCCACUAUGAUGUCAUUGCAUUCAACUUGUACUGGGGUCCUCAAUGCUAUUUUGCAAUUCAUGUGUGUUUUUUAGCUUUCUUCUAUUUCCCACAGCUUCCAUCUGAAACAUUUCACAAGCUCCUCAGACUUACAACUCCCACCACCUCCCACCGUAACUUCAGCCAGCCAACAUGCUGUCUGUUGCCAGCCCCGCCCCCACCCUGAAAUAUCUGUUCUUGGGAUUCUAUCCCCUCUUGCCUCCUCAGGAAUCUUUUUUCUUUUAAUUAUUCACCCCCACCUCCAUCCCUCUUACUUGAUCUUCAAACUGUUCUUCCCAUCUGCAUUUAAAUAUACUCUGGUCUCACCCAUUAAAACAAACAACAUCAAAAAACCCAGAAAACACACAAAAUAUAUACCUCUCCUUGGAUCUCUUAUCUAUCUGGCACCAUCUCAUUGCACUGCUCUCCCCACAUUCCAACUUCCCUAAAGUGGUGUGUACGUUCUGGCCCUCUUCCCCUUGCUCUUAAUGAUGCGGUUUCUGCCUUCACCACCCCAUGAAUGCUGCUCUCUCCAAGGUUACUGACCUAUUCCUUACUGCUAAGUCCCUUCAACUUAUGGCAGUGCAGCCUCUUCUGAGCAUUCCCUUCUCAAACAUUUUCUUCCCUCAGCUUCCUUGGCACCACCCACUUUCCUAUUUUUAAAAUUUCUUCAAAGCACUUUAUUAUGUUUACAGAUAAUGUAUACAUAUAUACAUAUAUGUGUAUAUAUGUAUACAUAUACAUACAUACCAAUAUGAGGAUGAAACUGGUUCCAAGAGCAUUUAAGGAACAAUGAUAUAUAUAGUACAGCAGGAAAGACAUUAAAAGGAUAUUAGAAUAGGAUAGCUGGGUUGGAUACAACAUUGGUUAGUGGCCCACGGGACAACAGAACAGCCAUCUUUAAGGUUAUCUUUUUUACUUAACAAAAAUCUACAAUUUAACAUAUAAUUCCAUAGUGUCUAGUCUCUAAUCAAAUAGGAAAUAGCAAAGUCAAACAUGAGUAAUCAGAUAAAUUGUCAUGAAGUGGACUAUUGAAAUAAUAUACCAGUAGACAUCAAAAGGGCUUGCUCUACCCUUUUAUCCUUAUUUUCAAGUUUUAUACUUUUUUUUUUAACACUGGCAUUACCUAGUUACUGUACUUAGCAUAGGAUAAAUUAUGUUUCAUGCUUUUUGCAGAUUCUAAGGCUUUCUAAAAUUUGUUGAUUUACAUGUGUGUUAUUAUAUACUCAAUUAGCGCUCCUAAAGUUAGACAGGGUUUCAGUAAUGCCAAUAUUCUAAAAGCCAAUAACCUAAAAAUGCAUAGGUUAAGAAAGACAAAGGAACAUUUUUUGCUAAGGAAAGAAAUCAGGAAUGGGGAAAAAACAGGAGCAUAUUGUGAUACUUUUGCGGCAGUCUUAUUAAUCUCAGAAACGACUUCCCUAUAACCAAUUACCUGUACUGUGAAUUCUGUAAUGCACCACAUGAAAUAAUAGUAAACACUUAUAUUGUCAAUUUUGUAAGAUAUUUUCUCAGAAAUAGCCAUGCUUAUUAUCUCAACAACCUUGUAGUUGGAGCAGACAUAUUAUGCCUCUCAUUUUAAGAAUAGAGAGUGUGAAUUAGGAAGUGCUUCAGCAACAGGGCCAAGACUGUAAAUCAAAGGUGCUGUCUUGACUCUAAUCUAUUGGAUCUGACAGGCUGGAGAUGGUUAUAAAAGCAGCCCCCAGUUUCCAGACAAAUUAUGUUCCUAAGGAUCAUUUGUAGGUCAGUUGUUUUGAACUCGACACAUUUUUCUAUAGAAAUUGUGUGAUGAAUGAAGGUUAUGUCUCCAGUUCAGUCUGCCAAAGCCUUUAACCCACAAUGUGUCCAUACUUCAGUGAUACAGAGCCUCCUCAUCAUUUGUUUCUAUUAGUUCAGGGCUUUCAUUUGGGAUGUAGGGAGCACAUUUUCCUGUGCUCUACCCGUGUCCACUUCAGCACCAGAGCUAAGGGGUGUGAACUUUUCCAGCUUCAUACAGCGAAUGGUAGCUCUGGGUGUGGUUGAGUAGACAGAGGCUCUUACCAGGGGUGCCCAAGGGCACUCAAUUCAGAAUCACUGGAGAGAGCCCUGACACAGGUGUCUGAGCAGGACAGAGACUGGAACUUUAGGGGGAUGAGUUUGAGGAGGGGAUGCCGAAGACUGGGUCGCAGGUAGUGUUGACAAUAGUAGACAGUUCUAAAAGUGGUAGACCUCAGGAGUGGGAGGGUAGUGCCUAUCUCUUAGGUUGUAGAAUAGCUUGUUAAAUGAAACCCAAAGAACAGGUAUGCAGGUACAGGGUGAGAAAGAACAAAGUUGCUUUUUGCUAUCUUCCUGAGUUCAGCUCAUUCAAUAAACUCAUUGCAUUUGUUUAAAUCUUCUCGAUGAUUUUAUAAAAUGUAUUGUCACUGCAAUGGAAAAUUAAACAAUAUUGAAAAGUACAAAGAAAAAUGUAAAAGUCACCCAAAUCUCUUCAUUCAUAGGUAAGCAUUAUUAGCUUAAAGGUUUCAAUCAGAAUUGGAAAACUAUUUCAGACAUAACUCUAGAAACUAUUCCAGAAACUUCCCAGUAAGGGAGCCUAGGGCCCAAGCCUCAAUGGUUAAUAAUUUUAACAUUCCUUCCCAAUCAUUUUCUCAGAUUAGGUAGUGCUGCAGACUUUCUCUAGCCUUUACUUUCUGUCUAAUAUGUAAUUGUGUGAUUAUUUGAACUAUGUAAUAGUUUUUCUUGGAAUUUGCUAUUAUCUUGUCACCUUUGUCCAAAUUGAUAUGUAAGAACUGUGGAGAAAUGGAGGAAGAUUCAAUAUCAAAAAGUUUGAGCUAAAUGUCACAAAAUGCUGAACAGUAAAUGAGGCCAUGUGCCUGUUCGUGUUCUCCCCAGCACCAGGCUAUGCCAUUUUUUUUUUUAAAAUAUUGACCUGUCUAAUAAGGGGGAAAUGUUUCCCAAUCUUAGGUAAGUUUAUUCAUCUGUGAAAUGGAGAUGAUGACAGUAUUUAUUUUCUUGGGCUAUUGAGAAGAUCAGUUGAGUUAAUACAUGAGAAAACAGUAGGCCAGUGCCCAGAACAUGGUACACUCUCAACAAAUGUUAACUGUUCUUAAAUUUUUUGUAUGUAAAACAAAGGGGCAAACUAGGUGAUCUCUGUGGCCCCUCUAGAGCUAUAACUCUAGAUCCAUGACACUGAAAAUGUAUAGCUGUCCUUUUUUGGCCCAUAAUUUAAAAAAAAUGAGUACACAGCAGGUUUAAAAUGGCAAAAAUGAAGGGAGUAAUUGCUCUCAAUUUAAGACGUAUCUGCAGUAAAAUUAAACAGGAGACUGUAAUAUAAAAUAACAUAACCUGUAAGCAUUGGCUAUUACGUAUUCAAAGGCAUUAUUAAGCCACUAGAAUACAGCUGACAUUUAAGUCCACCUGUUUAGCUACACUACAGUCUUACCAAGGAAGAUAGAAAAAUAGCUGGAAACCUUACACAUAAAUUCUAUAGAACAUGAGGAACAGUUAUCAACUGUCGUUCAUCUCAGCCUCUACUGAAAAUCAGCAACUUUUAUGUAAAAGUCAAAUGUAAAUAUUUGAAGCAAUGUUUGAAAAAAAUGGACCAUAACAAGCUUACAGAGUUAGGGCUGUUGACCUGCCAAUAUUUAGCUCUUCCAAGCCAAGUCUUUGUAAGCUCAGCUCAGUAAAUUCAAAUAUUGAGCAUAGUCCUUUGUAUAUGGGAAGUUUCAGUGCUCCAGAGUUAUUCAUUUUACCCUAGGAAGCAAAAUCCCUGAUAUUAAAGGAACUAUCUGACAUAAGUUUGGAAUUAUAGAAUCCUAGAGUUUAAAGAGGCUUAGCAAUCUAACUUUUUCUAUGAUAUUCCUAAUGAGAAUUUGAAUUCUGCUUAAAUCCUACUGAAAGUUAUGGUAGAUGUUCCAAGUGCUAACUGAAGCUUCUGACAUCCUUCCUUUUACAGCUGUCUCAUCUCCUUGAAAUUAUACAUGGCCAUGGACUGCUUUGGCCAAUGAAAUUUAAGUGAAGUGAUGUGAAUCACUUCCAGGCAGAAGCAUUUAAGAGCUGAUUUAUGAUUCAAGCUCUGUUUCCUUGCCACAGUGGCCGCUGGAGACUUGUGUUUAGAUGGCAGUGUCAUAGGAUGGUGGAUCUUCUGUCAUCUUGAGUCUUUGAAGGCUACAAUGCGUAGGAUCUUUUGUGACCUGUGCUGGACAAAUAAAGUAGUAUAAAUAAGAAACAAACUUUUUUUGAUAUACCAUUGAGAUUUGGGGGUUCUUUGUUGCUACAGCACAAACUAGACUAACUUGAUUGAUACUUUAUAAAACUCUGCUUUUAUGUAAGCCCCUUUUAUAGCUGGAUACCUGGAUAGAAACAUUAUUUUAAUGUUACAUUUCAUAUUGAGCUAAGAUAUAACUCCAUAUAAGAUUAAAUUUAAUCUUUUUCUGAUGUCUGGAGCAGAAGAGAAUUGCAACUUUUGUUCUUCCACUUGACAGUCCUUCAAAUAUCAGAACAUAAAUGUUAUGGUCCCCACACCCUCUCUCUGCAAAGAAACCCUGUUUUCCCCUUGACACAUGGUUUCUGGGCUUUUCACCAUCCUGGUUACUCUUUGGAUAACUUUUAUUUUGCCAGUGUUCCAUUAAAGCAUAAUGUCUAGAAUGGAAUUCUUACAAAAUUAGAUACUGCAGGAGAGAUCAUUGCAUGGCUUUUCUGAGGUUUGUGAUGAUGGAGAGUUAUAUUUAUUUAUUAAAAGUACAUUAUUUUAGACCAUAUUUGAAGUUGACAUUUUAAGGUGGCUUCCAGCACUGAAUUUGGUUCAGGAAGGGUUUGUCCAUCCUCAAUCUCAAUUGGAAGAUGAUAACCUUUAGAAAGCAACAACAUCAGGAACAUAGUGUGGACCACAUCUGAGGUCCAGCUAUGGACAAAAUGAGUGUUAUUGAAGAUUUCCAGUGGGACAGUAAUAAGGAUAUAUUGUGUUACAGAAAAAUAAUUAUGGAAAAAAUUUAAAAGAAUAAUCACUAGGUGAAGCAUACUUGGGAAGGGGUGAGAGAGAAAGGCAAAGAGAACAAUCAAUUAACCAAUGAAUCAACACAAUUUAUUAAUUGCCUACUAAAUGUAAGACACUGAGCUACAUGGGUUGGCCCACUGGUGAACAAAACUUAUAUAUGAAAAUAGGAAGGAGUAGGUGGAUAGUAAAAAUGGUCAACAGAUAUGACAUUCUAAUUAGUACUGUAGUAUGUGUAAGUGAACAAACUGAAAGGACAGGAGGCUGAUGUCUGAGGAUAGGAUUUUUAAAGUAGGAAUUUGAAAAGGAACAGUUUCUAGUGAUGACAAAGUCAAUGAAAGUACAGAAAACCCAUCUCAAGUGACUUAAAGACAAACAGAAAAGUCCACAAGUAAAGUUGUUUCAGGAACUAUUCAAUCAGGUCUUGGUUCUACAUUUUCUUUUUUCCUGUUUCUUUGGUUCUUCUUUCCUUUAUAUGUUAGUUUUUUCUUUAGGCUGAUUUUCCUCCUGGUUGCAAGACAGGUAUCAGCAGCAAUGGUGAAUCCAUUCUUCCUAGUUUGCCUCUCGUGGAAGAAAAAGUGUCCAUUUCCUGCAACCACUGAACAAAAGUUUUGAGCUUCACUCUGAUAAGAUUAUGCCUAAGGCCAUCAAUGUGGCCAGGUAAAUGCAUACACUAAUUCUAGAGGUAGAACUAAAGUCAGUUUAUCAAAAAGUUGACUUUAGGGCAUAAGUAGGGGGAUGGGUCACUGUUGAAAAAAAUUGAAGUAUAGUUAACAAGGGCACAUGAUAGAAUGAAUGCUGUGUUGGUAACUCACAGAUGUCCACAAUAAGUUGUACAGAAAAAUGGGACCAGAUUCAGAGAGGUAUAGAUUUUUACAAACACAUUGGGGUGGGAAUGAUUGAGAAGGUACUAUGGGGAAUGAAGAAGACACUGAUAUGAACUCCUUACCCUUAAAUAUAUGAGGAUGAAAAGAAUGAGCAACCUUGAUACAAGGGGCACAGGGAAAGCAGUUCAGGGGAGAACACAUUUUUAGCUAAGGGAAAAUAAGUGGAGAUACAGUCAUGGACAGUGGGUUUUGAGAGGCCCUGGGCAAGCCUUGUGGUUUAGAAAUGGCAGCAGAGAAGUGGUGAUAUCAUUAGUUCAUAUAUGGAAUGUUGCAGGAGGAGAAGGCCUUGCUAGAUCUUUCAACAUUGUCACCUGCAGAUGGAGGAUUUCCAGACAUUUGAUCUGCAACUCAGAAAAGAGGGCUGUUUAGGAGGACAUUUGUAUUUUGGAAGAAAGUGAGAAAGGGGUUGGAGCAGUUUAGCAGGAGGGAGAAAAUGGGAGAGAACUUUCCUUUAUGAAGUCUUCUCUGGUUUUCUUCAGUUCGAUGUUCUCUAUUACAUAGGUAGCUAUUUUCCAACUGAUAAAAAAUAUAGUUAAUGCUAACUAAAAGCAGGAGUGCAUUAUUUUGAAAUCUUUGAGUGAAGAGCCAAUUUCUGAGACUCCAAAUUCCAAUAAACAGCACUUUGUUAGCAUUCAUAACCAUUUAUGUAUUUAUCACUCACAUACUUGCAUACAAGUAGAACUAGUUUCUCCUCAAGUGGGACAUGACAGGUACGUGUUGCUUUUGAUGCUCUGGCCACAAGAACACCUGUUCUUGCUUAGCAUCUCUUUGUACUUUGGGGAUUUGUAGCUGUUUCUUUCAAUUCAGCUGAGAAGUAACAUGAGGCUUAGAUCCACAAAUCCACCUCCUGGGAGCUGGACGCCCAUCUCCAUUUGGCUCUGUAGGGUCAAGAUGUCAUUGAUGGUGCAAGUGCCUGUGCCUGCGCUGCCCUCUCACAGCACACCUCCUCCUUUUAGCCAUCUUCACAAAUCACUAGUUAGGCACCACUCUGCUGCAGGCUGGGGGAGCUUCCCUUCCUGAUUCUCCUUGCCCAUGCAGUGCUUAUUGCUUUCUUUGGCUUGGGCUUCCCUCCAUGCUCUUGUUCACAUUAUUGAUACAUGUUAUCUCCUCAAGCUUUAAGUAGUUUCCCACAUUGCAUCCUCUCACAUUCUUAUUCUUAUGUUAGAUUUAUUUUAAUUAUUAUAUUUGAAUAUAUGAUUCAAUAAUAUUCCACAUUUCUGCCUAAUAUUUGUUUUUUUUUCUUUUAGUAUUUAUCAGUUUCUGCCUUAUGUGGUUGAUUGUAUGUCUGUCCUAUCUGAGUUCAUGCAUCUAACAGUCAUACUACUGUAACCAUCAUAUCUUCACAAAAAAAAAAAGUGUUCUGCUUUCUAUACUUGAGUACAAGAUCAUUUCCUCGGCCCUGUAUUCUCUGCAGUACCAGCACAGUGCCUUGGGUAUCAUGGUCACUCAAAUAUUUGAUCAAGUAAGUUUAUAGAUAAAUGCCUAUCUAAUAUAUUAAAUCAGAAGAUGGGGAUAAUGAAGUAUAGCUUGCUUUUAAAUAGAAUUUUUUAAUGUUAUUAUUAAGCCAACUAUUUUAUGUCUCAUUGCUUUUAGGAGCAAGGUAACAUAUUUCAUACUUUGGCAUUGGUUUCAGUAGCAGGGGGAACAAACUUACAGCUUGCUAUGAGUUGUUCUGUGGUCAGAACAAAAGUUGCUAAUGAUCAAGCACUUAUCUAGUAAGGCUAGUUUUUUUUCUCAAGAUAUUUCUCAAUACUGUAUUAUUGACAACUACUCCAAGUAAUUAGAAUAGGCAUAUAAUAUUGAACAUUUCAAUGGUUUACUACACUUAGGGAGAAUAUUAUAGAGAAGAUGUGAGUCCUGACUUACGAUUUUAAAAGCUCUUCUCUAUUCAAGGGGCAGAGUUCUUGUGGAAGGAAUGAGUCCAGUGUGGUCUGUGGUGUGCAUGAGAAAAUAAGCAGCAAAGGUCAUGGAGUAAGAAGUUCGAAGCCAUUAUUAAAGAAUGGCCGUGGGUAAAAUGAUUGGAUUCUGCCAUGGAACAUGGUAAGCUAGUGGGCCAGUAUUGUGUAGUAAUUUUAAGUGCAGAAUGCUUGAGUUUUAAUUCUGGGAUCCCCCUUCCUAGCUGUGUGACUUUGGGCAAGCUGUUUAUCUCUUUGUGCUACAAAUUGUUUAUCUGUAAAAUAGGAGUUUUAAAAGUUAUUAACUUGCUGGAUUUACAUGAUAAUUAAUUGAGGUAAUAUACGGAAAGUUCUUAGAACAGUGCUAAGUGUUAGUUACAUGAUUCCUGUUUAAAUAAUUCAUUACUAUUAAAAGGGAAGAGAAACUACCUUCAAAAAUAGUACUGUCUAGCCUUAAUAUAAUUAAUCUGUCUGACCCUAGCUACCACUAUAACCAAGGUAAAUUUUUUGCAAGUCAUAAGAAAACUAAUGAUUAUCUGAUACUCCAAAAAUUUGUUUCCUAAAAAAUCAAAGAUUUUGUCUUCAAAUUGGAGCUGUUUAACCAUCCGUUAAUGGAGACAACCACAUGGAAUUUAAAAAAUGUGAUAGGUAGAGCAAAUUAUCAUUGAGUUCUUAGUAGAACAUUUUCUCCACAUUUCUCUGUUGUAUACACCAUCAGGAGGAAUAAACAAUUUCACAAAGUUGCCAAAAUGUUAGCAUUUUUACUGAAAACGCCUAGUCAUAGUUUUGUUUUCUGCAAGUUAUUUUAAAAAUUGGUGACAUUAUUCAUAAGCAAAAAGAAUCAUUUUAUGUAGUAUGUGGCAUUCUAUACCUGAAACAAAAACAACAACAACAGUGGAACAAAUCUGCAAUGUAAAAAAUAGGUAAAAAUAAAUAUCUUAUUAGAAACAAAAUAGGCAGUGCUUUUAAGGCACAUGUUCAAAUAAUAAGCAAAAAAUAAAAAUGUUAUUUGAUUAAAGAGAUGUUUAGCUCUCAGGAAGGCAGUAGUGAUUCUAAAUCAAUGGGAUAAAUAUCAGCAAUAACAAAGGUGAUUAAUAAACUACUUUUUGUUAAAUAUAUAAUUGUUUAUUGGAGAAACUGGAAUUCUUAAUUUUAGCAUUAUUAAUUUCUUCGUGGAAAAUAGAGCCUCAUUUUAUCUCAACAUUUAAAUAGAGUCAUAUUUUUAAAGAUAUUUAUUGUUAUUAUUUUUUAUUUCAAUAGUUUUUGGGGAACAGGUGGUGUUUGCUUACAUGGAUAAGUUCUUUAGUGGUGAUUUCUGAGAUUUUGAUGUACCCAUGACCCUAGCAGAGUACACUGUACCCAAUAUGUAGUCUUUUAUCUCUCACUUGGCUUCCUUUCCACCCUUCCCCCCAAGUCCCCA
rnacentral:lncRNA from 1 species